rnacentral:piRNA from 1 species
UGCAAGUUGUUGCUCCGCUUGUUGGAC